rnacentral:rRNA from 1 species
AGCAGCCGCGGUAAUUCCAGCUCCAAUAGCGUAUAUUAAAGUUGUUGCAGUUAAAAAGCUCGUAGUUGAAUUUCGGGGUCAGUAAGUUGGUCGUGCCACUGGUAUGUACUGGCUUUACUGAUUCCUCCUUCUUGUAGAACCGUAAUGCCAUUAAGUUGGUGUUGCGGGAAAACAGGACUAUUACUUUGAAAAAAUUAGAGUGUUUAAAGCAAGCUAACGCUUGAAUACAUUAGCAUGGAAUAAUGAAAUAGGACGAACGAUCCUAUUUUGUUGGUUUCUAGGAUUGACGUAAUGAUUAAUAGGGAUAGUUGGGGGGCAUUAGUAUUCAAUUGUCAGAGGUGAAAUUCUUGGAUUUAUUGAAGACUAACUACUGCGAAAGCAUUUGCCAAGGAUGUUUUCAUUAAUCAAGAACGAAAGUUAGGGGAUCGAAGACGAUCAGAUACCGUCGUAGUCUUAACCAUAAACUAUGCCGACUAGGGAUCGGAUGAUGUUAAUUUUUUAAUGACUCAUUCGGCGCCUU